rnacentral:rRNA from 1 species
GACGAACGCUGGCGGCGCGCCUAACACAUGCAAGUCGAACGGAGCGCACGGGAAGAUCUCUUCGGAGUGAUUUUUGUGUUGCUUAGUGGCGAACGGGUGAGUAACACGUGAAUAACCUACCUCUGAGUGGGGGACAACAUUCGGAAACGGAUGCUAAUACCGCAUAAGACCACGGUACCGCAUGGUACAGCGGCCAAAGGAGCAAUUCGCUUAGAGAUGGAUUCGCGUCUGAUUAGCUAGAUGGUGGGGUAAUGGCCUACCAUGGCGACGAUCAGUAGCCGGACUGAGAGGUUGAACGGCCACAUUGGGACUGAGACACGGCCCAGACUCCUACGGGAGGCAGCAGUGGGGAAUAUUGCACAAUGGGCGAAAGCCUGAUGCAGCGACGCCGCGUGAGGGAAGAAGGUUUUCGGAUUGUAAACCUCUGUCUUAGGGGACGAAGAAGUGACGGUACCCUAGGAGGAAGCCACGGCUAACUACGUGCCAGCCGCCGCCGUA